GGUCUGGGCGGUGUGUACAAGGCGGCCUAUAAAGUCUGCUGUCAAAGCUCACAGCUCAACUGUGAAUCGGCAGUGGAAACUCAUAGGCUAGAGAGUGGUAGGGGUAGAGGGAAUUCCUAGUGUAGCGGUGAAAUGCGUAGAUAUUAGGAAGAACACCAGUGGCGAAGGCGCUCUACUGGGCCAUUACUGACGCUGAUGGACGAGAGCUAGGGGAGCGAAAGGGAUUAGAUACCUCUGUAGUCCUAGCUGUAAACGAUGGACACUAGGUGUUGGCCGUAUCGACCCGGUCAGUAUCGAAGCAAACGCGUUAAGUGUCCCGCCUGGGGAGUACGCACGCAAGUGUGAAACUCAAAGGAAUUGACGGGGGCCCGCUCAAGCGGUGGAGUAUGUGGUUUAAUUCGAUGCAACGCGGAGAACCUUACCAGGGAUUGACAUCCUACGAAUCUUCUUGAGAGGGAAGAGUGCCUUCGGGAGCGUAGAGACAGGUGGUGCAUGGCUGUCGUCAGCUCGUGUCGUGAGAUGUUGGGUUAAGUCCCGCAACGAGCGCAACCCUCGUCCUUAGUUGCCAUCAUUAAGUUGGGCACUUUAAGGAGACUGCCGGUGACAAACCGGAGGAAGGUGGGGAUGACGUCAAGUCAUCAUGCCCCUUACAUCCUGGGCUACACACGUACUACAAUGCAACGGACAAAGGGCAGCCAACUAGCGAUAGUGCGCUAAUCCCAUAAACCGUUGCUCAGUUCAGAUUGCAGGCUGCAACUCGCCUGCAUGAAGGCGGAAUCGCUAGUAAUCGCAGGUCAGCAUACUGCGGUGAAUACGUUCCCGGGCCUUGUACACUCCGC
rnacentral:rRNA from 1 species